rnacentral:rRNA from 1 species
ACUCUAAGGAGACUGCCGGUGACAAACCGGAGGAAGGUGGGGAGUGACGUCAAGUCAUCAUGGCCCUUACGGCCUGGGCUACACACGUGCUACAAUGGUCGGUACAAAGGGUUGCCAAGCCGCGAGGUGGAGCUAAUCCCAUAAAACCGAUCGUAGUCCGGAUCGCAGUCUGCAACUCGACUGCGUGAAGUCGGAAUCGCUAGUAAUCGUGAAUCAGAAUGUCACGGUGAAUACGUUCCCGGGCCUU